AUGGGGAUGUGCAUAGUCUGGUGUGCAGCAGUGUAUCUCUUGGGAGCAAGCCAAAGUGAUGCUAAAAUAACCCAAACACUGAGUCUGGUGCUGGAGAGAGGACAGACUGCCUAUCUCAGAUGUCAGCAAACAUAUGGGCAUGACAGCAUGUUCUGGUACCGGCAGGAUCCAGGGCAGGGACUGCAGCUGCUCUUUAACUUCUACUAUAAAGAAGAAAGAGAGAAAGGCACAAGUUCUAGUCACUUUCAGGCUGACCAGCCACAGGAUAAUCUCUUUCGCUUGAACAUCUCGUCUGUGCAGCCAGAGGACUCGGCUGUGUAUUUCUGCGCCAGCAGCUCAGACACAGCACUUCAGAGUCACCUCCUCCCUCUACAAAAACCUCGCCUGUUCCUUGUCACUCUGCAGCCUCACCACAGGGACAGCAACAAGAACACCUCGUCAAAAGGGAUCGUGGUGGCCCCGGUCAGCAUCGCUGACCAUGGCGUUGACUUCUGA